CUUCAGCGAGCCGAGCCACAGCGGGUCGGCGUCACGGUCCCGGCCGUACGUGGCCAGCAGCGCGCCCGCCUC
rnacentral:antisense_RNA from 1 species